rnacentral:rRNA from 1 species
CCUACGGGGGGCUGCAGUGGGGAAUAUUGGACAAUGGGCGAAAGCCUGAUCCAGCCAUGCCGCGUGUGUGAAGAAGGUCUUCGGAUUGUAAAGCACUUUAAGUUGGGAGGAAGGGCAGUAAGUUAAUACCUUGCUGUUUUGACGUUACCGACAGAAUAAGCACCGGCUAACUCUGUGCCAGCAGCCGCGGUAAUACAGAGGGUGCAAGCGUUAAUCGGAAUUACUGGGCGUAAAGCGCGCGUAGGUGGUUUGUUAAGUUGGAUGUGAAAGCCCCGGGCUCAACCUGGGAACUGCAUCCAAAACUGGCAAGCUAGAGUACGGUAGAGGGUGGUGGAAUUUCCUGUGUAGCGGUGAAAUGCGUAGAUAUUAGGAAGAACACCAGUGGCGAAGGCGACUUUCUGGACGAAAACUGACGCUGAGGCGCGAAAGCCAGGGGAGCGAACGGGAUUAGAUACCCUUGUAGUC